rnacentral:rRNA from 1 species
GAUGAACGCUGGCGGCGUGCCUAAUACAUGCAAGUCGAGCGAACGGACGAGAAGCUUGCUUCUCUGAAGUUAGCGGCGGACGGGUGAGUAAUACGUGGAUAACCUACCUAUAAGACUGGGAUAACUUCGGGAAACCGGAGCUAAUACCGGAUAAUAUUUUGAACCGCAUGGUUCAAAAGUGAAAGACGGUCUUGCUGUCACUUAUAGAUAGAUCCGCGCUGCAUUAGCUAGUUGGUAAGGUAACGGCUUACCAAGGCAACGAUGCAUAGCCGACCUGAGAGGGUGAUCGGCCACACUGGAACUGAGACACGGUCCAGACUCCUACGGGAGGCAGCAGUAGGGAAUCUUCCGCAAUGGGCGAAAGCCUGACGGAGCAACGCCGCGUGAGUGAUGAAGGUCUUCGGAUCGUAAAACUCUGUUAUUAGGGAAGAACAUAUGUGUAAGUAACUGUGCACAUCUUGACGGUACCUAAUCAGAAAGCCACGGCUAACUACGUG